UGAAAUCUAUCAAGACUAUUGAAAGCUCCAAAAUGAUGGAAAGUGUGCCUGAAAUGUGGAUGAUACUAACUUAUUAUUUACAGUGAUCAGUAUGUUUUUG